GACGAACGCUGGCGGCGUGCUUAACACAUGCAAGUCGAACGGUGAACUCCGCUUGCGGGGGGAUCAGUGGCGAACGGGUGAGUAACACGUGGGCAACCUGCCCUCAGCUCUGGGAUAACUCCAAGAAAUUGGGGCUAAUACCGGAUAUGACCGCUGACCGCAUGGUCUGGUGGUGGAAAGAUUUAUCGGCUGGGGAUGGGCCCGCGGCCUAUCAGCUUGUUGGUGGGGUAGUGGCCUACCGAGGCGACGACGGGUAGCCGGCCUGAGAGGGUGACCGGCCACACUGGGACUGAGACACGGCCCAGACUCCUACGGGAGGCAGCAGUGGGGAAUAUUGCGCAAUGGGCGAAAGCCUGACGCAGCGACGCCGCGUGGGGGAUGACGGCCUUCGGGUUGUAAACCUCUUUCAGCAGGGACGAAGCGAAAGUGACGGUACCUGCAGAAGAAGCACCGGCCAACUACGUG
rnacentral:rRNA from 1 species